UAGCCAGACUCCUACGGGAGGCAGCAGUGGGGAAUAUUGCACAAUGGGGGGAACCCUGAUGCAGCGACGCCGCGUGGGCGAGGAAGUAUUUCGGUAUGUAAAUCCCUAUCGGCAGGGAAGAAGAAAUGACGGUACCUGAAUAAGAAGCACCGGCUAAAUACGUGCCAGCAGCCGCGGUAAUACGUAUGGUGCAAGCGUUAUCCGGAUUUACUGGGCGUAAAGGGAGCGCAGGCGGCGCGCCAAGUCUGAAGUGAAAUGCCGGGGCUUAACCCCGGAACUGCUUUGGAAACUGAGCAGCUAGAGUGCAGGAGAGGUAAGUGGAAUUCCUAGUGUAGCGGUGAAAUGCGUAGAUAUUAGGAGGAACACCAGUGGCGAAGGCGGCUUACUGGACUGUAACUGACGUUGAGGCUCGAAAGCGUGGGGAGCAAACAGGAUUAGAUACCCGAGUAGUG
rnacentral:rRNA from 1 species